GGGACUCACCGUUGUCCAGGCGCGCGAUCUGGGGCAGCCGGUUAAACAACUUCUUAUUCCACAACUAUCUAGAAGUAAAAAUUACUAUAAAUUGAAUGAUGAAAACUUCAGGUCAUUCCUUUCAAAGUCCUUUCCAGUGCUGCAUGGAGAAAAAACGCAAUCUACAACCACAACAAUAAAUGAGGGAACAGAAAUGAACUGAAAUCAAGAAACAGAAGGGCCAAGGAAAGAAGUCCAUUUGAAUGUAUCAACAUGCAGGUUUAUUAAUUAUUCCCUGAAUAAUCAACAACUAAACCAUUCUGCAUUGCUUGGCUAUUGAAUAUGAUCAAACCUAUAUUUAUCAUUUGGAACUGAAGUUCAAUGUCUUAUACAAGCUUUGUUUGCUCAUGACUAUUCCGUCACCAUUUAUAGAAAGUAUAGUUUUUCAAAAGUGUGAAGAAUCCACCAGCUUUCUGAUCUUUGUGACUCCUCUUAAAGAAAUAAAUAACAACCAGACACAGGACCCCUCCUAUCUGGAUGGGAUCAAGUUAAAUGUCAUCCGUGGGUCAGAGGAGACAACCUAGGAAACCACCACCCAACAGUUUCCUUUAUUUUCCAUGACUGAACACUAGAAAAUUCCCAAAUCCUUCCACUACAAAGAGAAAAGAGUUGUAAAUCAACAGAACGGAAGAGAAACAAAAAGGCAUUUCCUCUAUCUUUAACAAAGGGAACUUAGAGUUAUCAAGAGAAGGAACACGACUUUCUACUUAGCUCCAUAAUUUUCAUUCUAAUGUUAUUAAAAAGAAGUCAUCAUUGGUACAUGGAAGGAUAAAUCUAUAUUUUAAAGUCCCUCUUUUCUGUUGUUGGUCACAAAAGGCAACAAAGAAGCAUCUAAUAAAUAGAAUCUCUUAUUUGAAACAUUGGAAAAAGGAUGCCAGCUCCUGGAAAAUACCUUGCCCAUCAGUAAAGAAAUCGGUCCACAGGGAAUAAAAAUGGAAUGGAGAGCUCUCCAAUGCUGCCCUAUGGGGAGAAAUAAAAGGGGUCUCCACAUGUGGACUUCAUAAAAACUUUGAUAUAAAAGAAAUCUAUUAUCAAAAGUACACGGUAACCCCAGCAAGUGUUCUGUUUAAUCUUUGCACAGAGGAUUUAGGGCCUGCAAAGUGCAAGAGGCAUGAUGCAUUGGCCAUUUUAGUAUUCAUGUCUCCUGUACUGCUUUCUAAUAAGUUAAGAUGAAACGGGAGACUGCGUGCAGGAGUGAGAGAUGCAAGAAAAGCAGUACUGAGAAAUAAAGAUGAACAAAAGUGCAUCUUGACUUCCCUUUUAUUAUUAACAGGCGAGAGAACAACAAUGCCAAACUUAUAAUGUUAUUACUUAACACUUCACAUUUACAAAAAGACGUUGCAGUCAUUUUUACAUGUUAUUUCUCAAUAUUUUUCUGAUAGAGGCUUUUCUUAUAAUCAGUUUUUAUGAUGAUAUAUGAAAUGAUUUUUCCAAAAAGGAAGAUAAACAUGCAGUCUGUGCCAGCAUGUUACCAAAACAAUCUUUUUGGUGAGAAUAAUUGUUUCCUUUACUGUUUGGGUAGGACAAACAACUGGUUGGCCGACUAUUUGAAUGUUGUUUUCUUCGUGUUAUAUAGACCCACUUUUUCACUCCUACUCCCCUCCACUCCAUUCAACUCACUAUUACUUAAGUGUACCCCUUACAUCGUAUUUCUGAAAUAUAAAUAACAUAAUAGGAUAAGAUCUAAAGAAAACUAGCCUUCCUCUUAAUUCUUCUGUGAUAUAAGGUGUGUAAAUGGAGUGGCACCCAUGAGUGAGUAUCUGUGCACCUGCCUGUAGGCUGGCCUCUUUCUAAGAGGAGCAUGUCUGUGAGGCACACUGAGAAAUGUUUGCUCAACAUAAGUGGGCAAAGUAUGCUGAGAUUCAGAAACUCCAUCUACCUCAUGUUUUAGGUGUCUGCUAGUUAGUUUGCAUGGAGAAAGUCAUUCAAUAAAUAAGUAGACCCCAAACCAGGGGACUGUCUCCUACCUUUAACUGUCAUCCUCACCUCCAUGACAAACUAGUUUGGUAUUUCUUCUGGGGCAAAAGAAUGGCAGUGGAAAGUUCUCCAAUCCCUUAGGCUUUAUUAGAUUUGGGAAGAAUCUGGGAUUCUGAUGAGAAAGAUUUCUUCAUUUAUUAUUAGAUGGCCCAAAGCAUAGCAAUCUGUCAGUUGCCUCUUUCUGUUUUGC
rnacentral:lncRNA from 1 species